rnacentral:rRNA from 1 species
UACGAAGGGGGCUAGCGUUGCUCGGAAUCACUGGGCGUAAAGCGCACGUAGGCGGAUUGAUAAGUCAGGGGUGAAAUCCUGGAGCUCAACUCCAGAACUGCCCUUGAUACUGGCGGUCUCGAGUCCGGGAGAGGUGAGUGGAACUGCGAGUGUAGAGGUGAAAUUCGUAGAUAUUCGCAAGAACACCAGUGGCGAAGGCGGCUCACUGGCCCGGUACUGACGCUGAGGUGCGAAAGCGUGGGGAGCAAACAGG